rnacentral:rRNA from 1 species
UACGUAGGAGACAAACGUUAUCCGGAGUUACUGGGCGUAAAGGGCGUGUAGGUGGUUGCGUAAGUCUGGCGUGAAAUUUUUCGGCUUAACCGGGAAAGGUCGUCGGAUACUGCGUAGCUAGAGGACGGUAGAGGCGUGUGGAAUUCCGGGUGUAGUGGUGAAAUGCGAAGAGAUCCGGAGGAACACCAGUGGCGAAGGCGACACGCUGGGCCGUACCUGACACUGAUGCGCGACAGCAUGGGGAGCAAACAGG